rnacentral:rRNA from 1 species
GAUGAACGCUGGCGGCGUGCCUAAUACAUGCAAGUCGAGCGAACGGACGAGAAGCUUGCUUCUCUGAUGUUAGCGGCGGACGGGGGAGUAACACGUGGAUAACCUACCUAUAAGACUGGGAUAACUUCUUGAAACCGGAGCUAAUACCGGAUAAUAUUUUGAACCGCAUGUUUCAAAAGUGAAAGACGGUCUUGCUGUCACUUAUAGAUGGAUCCGCGCUGCAUUAGCUAGUUGGUAAGGUAACGGCUUACCAAGGCAACGAUGCAUAGCCGACCUGAGAGGGUGAUCGGCAACACUGGAACUGAGACACGGUCCAGACUCCUACGGGAGGCAGCAGUAGGGAAUCUUCCGCAAUGGGCGAAAGCCUGACGGAGCAACGCCGCGUGAGUGAUGAAGGUCUUCGGAUCGUAAAACUCUGUUAUUAGGGAAGAACAUAUGUGUAAGUAACUGUGCACAUCUUGACGGUACCUACUCAGAAAGCCACGGCUAACUACGUG